GACAGAGGGUGCAAACGUUGUUCGGAAUUACUGGGCGUAAAGCGUGUGUAGGCGGUCCACUAAGUCGGGUGUGAAAGCCCUGGGCUCAACCCAGGAAGUGCACUCGAAACUGGCGGGCUAGAGUAUCGGAGAGGUUGGUGGAAUUCUCGGUGUAGAGGUGAAAUGCGCAGAUAUCAGGAAGAACACCCGUGGCUAAGGCGGCUCUCUAGUACGGUACUGACGCUGAGACGCGAAAGCGUGGGGAGCGAACAGG
rnacentral:rRNA from 1 species